rnacentral:rRNA from 1 species
GACGAACGCUGGCGGCGUGCCUAAUACAUGCAAGUAGAACGCUGAAGCGAGGAGCUUGCUCUUCUUGGAUGAGUUGCGAACGGGUGAGUAACGCGUAGGUAACCUGCCUUGUAGCGGGGGAUAACUAUUGGAAACGAUAGCUAAUACCGCAUAACAAUGGAUGACACAUGUCAUUUAUUUGAAAGGGGCAAUUGCUCCACUACAAGAUGGACCUGCGUUGUAUUAGCUAGUAGGUGAGGUAAUGGCUCACCUAGGCGACGAUACAUAGCCGACCUGAGAGGGUGAUCGGCCACACUGGGACUGAGACACGGCCCAGACUCCUACGGGAGGCAGCAGUAGGGAAUCUUCGGCAAUGGGGGCAACCCUGACCGAGCAACGCCGCGUGAGUGAAGAAGGUUUUCGGAUCGUAAAACUCUGUUGUAAGUCAAGAACGGGUGUGAGAGUGGAAAGUUCACACUGUGACGGUAGCUUACCAGAAAGGGACGGCUAACUACGUG